rnacentral:rRNA from 1 species
GGGGUGUACACGAGUGGCGAACGGGUGAGUAAUACGUGAGUAACCUGCCCUUCCUUUUGGAUAAGCCUUGGAAACGGGGUCUAAUACUGGAUAUUCUGCGUCCCACGCAUGUGGGGUGUUGGAAAGGGUUUUUCUGAGGGGGGAUGGGCUCGCGGCCUAUCAGCUUGUUGGUGGGGUGAUGGCCUACCAAGGUGGUGACGGGUAGCCGGCCUGAGAGGGUGACCGGCCACACUGGGACUGAGACACGGCCCAG